rnacentral:rRNA from 1 species
ACGGCGAGUGAAGCGGGAUGAGCUCAAGCUUAAAAUCUCCAUACGAGUUUCGUAUGGCGAAUUGUAGUCUAUGGAGGCGAUGUCAGUGCGGCUGUUCGGGUUAAGUCUCUUGGAAAAGAGCAGCAUGGAGGGUGAUACUCCCGUUCGUGCCUGAGCAGCUUGCGCGUACGACACGUUUUCUUUGAGUCGCGUUGUUUGGGAAUGCAGCGCAAAGUGGGUGGUAAAUUCCAUCUAAAGCUAAAUAUUGGUGCGAGACCGAUAGCGAACAAGUACCGUGAGGGAAAGAUGAAAAGAACUUUGAAAAGAGAGUUAAAGAGUACCUGAAACUGCUGAAAGGGAACCGAAUCGUUUCCAGUGUCUAUAAUCCUUGGCAUAUUUCAUUGGCGAGUGCAUGCGUGCAGUGUGUAGACAGCGGCUUGCUGCGUCUUACAUUGUUCUGCGUUUGCUUGCUGGUGCCCUGUGCUUUGGUGAGACGUCAGAGUCAGUUCGUAUGCUGCGGGAAAUGGUUAGUCGAGGAGGUAGGUCAAGUGCUUGCGCUAGGCUGUUAUAUCUUGAUUAACUAGUAGUCGUGGUUGGGACUGAGGUGCCUACAACGUGCUUUAAAGUCUUGCGGGUGCUCGUCUGGUUUGCUGCCUUGAUAGCUUGCUAUGUUGGCGGUGGAAUCGGGUGAUUGUGCUUGUAAGUAA